rnacentral:rRNA from 1 species
CCUACGGGCGGCAGCAGUGGGGAAUAUUGGACAAUGGGGGGAACCCUGAUCCAGCCAUGCCGCGUGUGUGAAGAAGGCCCUCGGGUUGUAAAGCACUUUCAGUGAGGAAGAACGCCUGGUGGUUAAUACCCAUCAGGAAAGACAUCACUCACAGAAGAAGCACCGGCUAACUCCGUGCCAGCAGCCGCGGUAAUACGGAGGGUGCGAGCAUUAAUCGGAAUUACUGGGCGUAAAGCGCGCGUAGGUGGCUUGAUAAGCCGGUUGUGAAAGCCCCGGGCUCAACCUGGGAACGGCAUCCGGAACUGUCAAGCUAGAGUGCAGGAGAGGAAGGUAGAAUUCCCGGUGUAGCGGUGAAAUGCGUAGAGAUAGGGAGGAAUACCAGUGGCGAAGGCGGCCUUCUGGACUGACACUGACACUGAGGUGCGAAAGCGUGGGUAGCAAACAGGAUUAGAUACCCUGGUAGUC